CGCGGGGUGGAGCAGCCUGGUAGCUCGUCGGGCUCAUAACCCGAAGGUCGCGGGUUCAAAUCCCGCCCCCGCAACCA
rnacentral:tRNA from 24 species